rnacentral:lncRNA from 1 species
GGAGGAAUCAAAGACACCGAUUACACCGCCGUCCCUUACCGCUGGAGCAUCAGCACCGGUCCCGAAGCACACCUCCAACGCUCUCCUCACCAAAACACGAAAACACCAGCGACUGGAAGCGGUCGCGAGGAAUAUAUUACUCUCCUAACAGAACAAUGAACGCGCGCUGAUUUCUCAGUGGGUGAAUCUAGGUGAUUUUCCAGUAUGACACGAACAACAAGCAGUGUGACAGACUCAAUCCAGAUCAAGUCGCAAGAACAAUGGGACAUUUUCUGGAGUAGGGAAAAAUGUUUAUAAUGGGUGAUAGUGUCUAGAGACUGUGAAUGUGGUUCGCUGUGGCGCUGAAACUGCAGACACAAAAAGCCUACAACUCGCACCCCCUGCAGUCCAAUGAGAUGCUAAGUGAUGUUUACAAUAAACAUAAUCUAUUGUUUAUUGA